rnacentral:lncRNA from 1 species
GCCAUCUUGGAAGAUUUAGUUUCGUGCUAGAUUACUUGUUGACUCGAGUUCACCCAUGCUGACUAGGCUGGUUAGACAUAUUGAUGUACUAACCUGAAUUUGAUUAGUUAGAUGUCAGAUCUCUGAUUUAGAAGAGACUUAAACCUAAAACUUUUCACUAAAUAUUAAGUCUAGAAGUCUUCCAUCAUUAUAGAGAUGAGGGUGCCUAACGUUGAUCGUUCUUGACUGGUUACAGUGGUUUGGUUGCAUCGAAAAGGUGCAACCAUUCUAUUAAUAUUUUAUUGCUCAAGGU